GGGGAAGUUGUCGGAAAAGUCAGGAGUGAAACUUGUCUUACCAGGUCCUCGAAGCUCCGGCGGUGCUCCUUGCCCUGCCAGUCCAGGCGUCGCGGGAUCAGCUGCGGAAGGGACACGGGGACGGGGGCGGCCGUCAGAGCCCGAGCGACCCCUCCCGGGGAACCCCCCCCGUACCCGCCCGCGCCCCCCGGGAUGGAGCCCCCCUGGUCGCUGCCCCCGGCCCCGCCGCGGGUCAGCCGCGCUCCUGCCCGGUGUCCCGGGCGGAGAUGGGCUGGGUUAGACGGGGCAGGGCAAACGCCGACCCCGCCGUCCCGAGGGCUUCCCCCGUCCCGCCGGGGCAGGCGCCUCACCUGGUGCUCCUCCAGCUCCUCCACCAGUACCUGGGGACAGAGGGACACACAGACAUACACAAAGGACGUGAGUCCGGCGCCCGCAGCGCAGCGGCUCCGCCGCCCUGUCCCGUCCAGUCCCGUCCCGUCCCGUCGCCGCCCGCCCGGCCCGGCCGGAGCGCCGGCUCCGCGCUCACCUGGGCGGAUUUCUUGCAGGGUCCGGACUGCAGGAACCGUGCGAUCAGAAAUGCCAAAUCCAGCUGUGGCUGAAACACCCAGGAAAAUGGGGUGUCCCUGUGUGCUCUGGGCUCUGUCAGCAGAAGGACCAAGGGAAUGAUGUCAGUGUCAGGUCCAUCCUCAGCAUCUCUGAAUUCCAACUUUGUACCUCAAAGUGCCUGGAAUCCCCCGAGUUUUAUAGCAGCAAAAUCACUACUGGGUGUAAGUGACCAGGAAACUAGAGAAAGUGGAUUAAAAGGAAUGAAGUUAUGGAGCAUGAAAAGAUACUCCAAAACCACUGUGGAGGAGGGAAGAGAAGGUUCUGCUCUGGCCCUGGCACAGCAUCCAGACACUGCCUCUCUCCUUCCCAUCGGUAUUUCCUUGCAAUCCCACAUUCUCUGCAGCCUGUGAUCAUUGGGAGAGCAGGGAAUAGCUGCUGUGGUUCCCUGCUCUCUGGCAGCGCGGGAGGGAUGAGUCGAGACUGAAAUAAUUUUCUACCAUUGAUGUGAGGAUGACUCCAACACCGGCUCCGGCUCCAUCCACAUCACUCCUGCUCCCCAUCUGUGCAAGGAAAAGUAAUCACUUGCCUUACCUCCGGGUUUAAUUAGUCCCUGCUCCGGGGCUAAUUAGGAGCGCGGUCCGUGCGGACGUCGGGGCCGGAGCCCUCCCUCCCGCUCCCGUUCCCGCUCCCGUUCCCGCUCCCACUCCCGCUCCCACUCCCACUCCCACUCCCACUCCCGCUCCUGCUCCUGCUCCCGUUCCGUGCCAUCUGCCAUUGCUAGACACUGGCUUUACUUUUCACGCCUGGCUGGGCGCGCUGGAUGCGCGGGGUAAUGGGGCUAUUUUUCCCCCUUAGUCUUUGGAAAGGAAAUAAUAAUAAUAAACCCAGGAAUGGCUGGAACUGCUGCACGCUACCCUUUUCCUUCCCACUUCUGAAGCUUUUUAGCAUUCAGUUUUCCAGCAAUUGGGAGGAAAAUUGCCCUGAAAGAAAGAAACAAAAAUCUGUGUUAUUUUUUAAACACCCCCCGUGCCACACAGGCAGCUGCAGAGAAUUUCUCUUCCAAAGGGAUGAUGUAAUGGGCUUUGUCAGCCAAUGCUGGAAUGAAUAAAACCGGAGACCCGAAAUCCAUCCAGGCUUUUGAUGAAACUCCUGAGGUUCCUGAAGCAAGUGGUCGCCAAAAUGGGCUGGAACCGCUGGUUUUGUCAUGCAGAUCUUGAGAGAAGUGAGAUGGAGAGUCAAGGGCUCCAACCAGGGAGUAACCAAAACCACCAAGUUUUGUCCCUUCUGACAGAAGGGGAUCUUGUGCAGAGCAUCUGGGGACACUCAGAGAGGGGGUGCACAGCCCUUGGUGCCGGGAUGUCAACCCAGACUUCAGCAUCCACCACAGAGUCACUCCUGAUCUGAACAUGGGACCUACAGCCACAUUUUAGAGAGAGAUAUGUGUGUAUAUUUAAUAUUAUGUA